GACGAACGCUGGCGGCGUGCUUAACACAUGCAAGUCGAACGGCAGCACGGACUUCGGUCUGGUGGCGAGUGGCGAACGGGUGAGUAAUGUAUCGGAACGUGCCUAGUAGUGGGGGAUAACUACCCGAAAGAGUGGCUAAUACCGCUUGAGAUCUACGGAUGAAAGCAGGGGAUCGCAAGACCUUGUGCUACUAGAGCGGCCGAUGGCAGAUUAGGUAGUUGGUGGGAUAAAAGCUUACCAAGCCGACGAUCUGUAGCUGGUCUGAGAGGACGAUCAGCCACACUGGGACUGAGACACGGCCCAGACUCCUACGGGAGGCAGCAGUGGGGAAUUUUGGACAAGGGGCGCAAGCCUGAUCCAGCAAUGCCGCGUGCAGGAUGAAGGCCUUCGGGUUGUAAACUGCUUUUGUACGGAACGAAAAGCCCUGGGUUAAUACCCUGGGGUCAUGACGGUACCGUAAGAAUAAGCACCGGCUAACUACGUGCCAGCCGCCGCCGUAAAAC
rnacentral:rRNA from 1 species